rnacentral:lncRNA from 1 species
AAUAAUUUAUCACUCCUAAUUCCCAAAUUCGAUUUCCCCUUCGCAAUCUUUUCUGCCUCCGCUCUCCAUUCCCCACCCCCACCGGCUCUCCAUUCCCCAAUCGCUCGAUCUGCCCCUCCCACCGCCGCGAUUUGCUUCGCCGGACCACCCGACUCUCCUUCCACCUUCGCCCACCGCUGCGAUAGAUUCUCCCUUCGUUGUCUUUUCUGCACACCGGCUCUCCCUUCCACCGCCGCGAUCUGCUUCGCUGGACCACCCGACCCUCCUUCCCCAUUCCCCCACCGCUGCGAUCUGCCCCUCCCACCACCGCGAUCUGCUGCUCAAGCCUUAAUUUCGUCCCCAAAUUCAUUCUCUCCCCCGUUGCCGAUGGCCCAUUCUUCGUGUGAAUAUCGACAAGUGAGAUAUUUCAAUGAAUGUUGCGUACGGGAAGGCCGCAAUCGCCUCUGUCUGCUUCGCUUCGCCGGCCGCCACUCGGCCGUCUGGCUAGAAAUCGCCAUUACCGAUGCUGCCACCUCCUCUGACAUGGUAAGCUUUCACCGAAAUCGCCAUUAAAUGAUACCCUAAUCUCCCUCAUUGCUCCCAAAGAAACCGUAGAUCCCCAAAUCCUCACCGCCUUUGCGAUUUCCGGCACCACGACACCACCUAUCGCGCCGCCCUAAACUCCGGUGAAAGUCGCCGCGAGCCACGGCCACGGCUUCUGUCCGACCCAUCUCCAUCUCUCAGCCCCUAAUCUCCCUCAUCUCUCCCAAAGAAACCCUAGAUCCCCAAAUCCUCACCGCCUCUUUGCGAUUUCCGGCGACCACGCAGCCAUGGCCGCCGCUGCUUCGACUCCCUCUAGCUCUGGUAGAACAGUAACAAAUCGCCGCCCUUCCCCACAUGGUAAGUAUUAAAUGUUUGACUAUUUUAAAUAUAGAAUUAUUGUUAUUUUAGAAAGAACAAAUUUUGGAAAGAAUUUUAACAAUGGAAACUCAUAACCUAGAUUUUUAGCUAUAAAUUACACGAAUCAUUCAGAAAUUGGUCGCAACUUUUUUUACAGCCAACGCAAGGUAUUGCUGCGUUUAUUUAUAUUUGUUCAUUGCUUAAGUUUUCUUUGUUUUUAAAUAAGUUCUGUUUAUAAUUUCUCUUUUUAUUUCUCCAUAUUGCAGCACCAAAAAUCUAAUAUUUUACCUCAUCGUGUUUUUACAAGCAAUUGCAAGGUACCCUUCUUCUUCUUUUGUUGUGUUUCUGUGAUUCACCUUUUUAUUUCUAUUUUCCAGAUUUUUGGUUUAGAUUUACUUCCCUGUUUUGCCGGUUUAAGUGUUCUGUUAGAUUUCUUGUGAUUUCUGUUAGAUUUCUUGUGAUUUCUUGAAAGCUUUCUUUUGUUGGCUGAUGGCUGUGUUCUGUAUUGAGAUAUGAGAAGUUUUCUGUUGUAAUAUAUUAGUUGUACGUUCUGCACCAGUUUCAAUUCAGAUAGCUUAUAUUAUUAGUUUGGUGAGUGGCAAUUUACUCAUGGAACUCUAGGUAUAAAUGUUAAAAUUUCUGGGAAUAAAAUUGGAGUAUAUAUUUGAUUGUGAAUUUGUGAUGCAACCCUGGGUGAAUAAAACAGAAUAAUAAUGUUAAGUUGUUUCUGUUUUGAUGCACUCAAUACGUAUACCCUGAGUCUAUCUAAUAGAUGUACACUAUGAAUUAAUCGUGUCUGUUUGAGUUGAUUACAGAUAAUAUACAGACCAACGGCGCUUACAACACAAGAGAGGAGAGUUUGAAGAGAGAAGUAAGCAUAGUCAAUCUCUCAAAGUUCAUAAUUUUCAUUUAUUUGUCUCUGGUACAUAGAGAUUUUGAUAAAUUGGAUUAGAUUGAUAGUGGAUGCUUCUACUUUUAGUUUUGGAAUGUACUGCUAUGUCUCCAUUUCACAUUUACCUUAGUGCAUGGUCAUCUAUCUAUAAUCGCAUUAGAUUUGGGCAAGCUAUCCAUUUUUGAGUUCAGUUUUACAUCUUCUUGGAAUUAUUCAUCCAUUCGAAGAAUUGCUGCUUUAGUGGCAUUUUUAACUUCAAUUUUUUGCUUGGAGAUUUCUGGAAUUUUGUGCGGAAUUGAAAUUUUGUGUGUGGAUUUCUGAAAUUUGACAGUGGGAUUGAUUAUGUGGGUGUUAUUGAA